rnacentral:lncRNA from 1 species
AUGGAGAUCCAGCCAUGGGACACCAUCCCAGCCCUGUGGGACACGAUGAACCCAUUCCCACGGGACACCAUCCCAGCUCUGUGGGGCACAAUGAUCCCAAUGUCAUGGAAAACCAUCCCAAUCCCACGGGACACAAUGAUCCCAUUGCCACGGAACACGAUCCCAAGGUCAUGGGACACCAUCCCCAACCCCACGAAACACAAUCCCAAUCCCAUAGGGCACCAUCCCAACCCCAUGGGUCACAAUGAUCCCAAGGCCAUGAGACACAACAAUCCCAAUCCCACGGGACAUGAUGAUCCCAAUUCCAGUGGACACCAUCCCAGCCCCAUGGGGCACAAUGAUCCCAAUACCAUGGGCGACCAUUCCAGCCCCAUGGGACACCAUCCCAAUCCCAUGGGACACCAUCCCAACCCCAUGGGGCACAAUGAUCCCAGUGCCAUGGGACACCAUCCCAACCCCAUGAAACAAAAUGCCAAGCCUAUAGGGCACCAUCCCAACCCCAUGGGACACAAUGAUCCCAAUCCCAUGGGACACCCUUCCAACCCUAUGGGAUGCGAUGGUUCCAAUGCCAUGGGACACAACAGUCCCAAUCCCAUGGGACAUGAUGAUCCCAAUCCCACAGGACACGAUCCCAACCCCACGGGAUACAAUGAUCCCAAUACCAUGAGCACCCAGCAGCCCAAUGUGAGACUGAACAGGGAUCCUGGACUGAAAUGGGGGAUCCUGGGCUGGAAUGGGGGAUCCUGGGCUGGAACUGGGGAUCCUGUUCUGAAAUUGGGAAUCCUGUGCUGGAAUGGGGAAUCCUAUUCUGGAAUGGGAUCCUGUCCUGACUCGGGCGAUCCCCCCUCCCCGCAUACCCGACCGGGCCACUGGACAAGCCCAGAUGUGUCCAGGACAAGCCCAGAUGUGUCCAGGACAAGCCCAGAUGUGGCUCCAGCUGCCCGGGGGAUUCCUGAGCGCUGCGUCAGCGCCCCGGCCCCGCACGGGGCAGGCGGAAAACUCCGGGCAGGAAAAUCCAGGCAGGAAAAUGCGGGCAGGGAGCGGCUCCCCAGGUGA